rnacentral:rRNA from 1 species
ACGGCGCACGGGUGCGUAACACGUGGGCAAUCUGCCCUUCGAUGGGGAAUAACUCCGGGAAACCGGAGCUAAUUCCGCAUAACAUUCCUUGGACUGCGGUUCGAGGACUCAAAGCCGUAAGGCGUCGAAGGAGGAGCCCGCGCCCGAUUAGCUAGUUGGUGAGGUAAUGGCUCACCAAGGCAAUGAUCGGUAGCUGGUCUGAGAGGAUGGCCAGCCACACUGGAACUGAGACACGGUCCAGACUCCUACGGGAGGCAGCAGUGGGGAAUCUUGCACAAUGGGCGAAAGCCUGAUGCAGCGACGCCGCGUGGGGGAUGAAGCAUCUCGGUGUGUAAACCCCUUUCGACCGGGAAGAAUGCCUCGCAAGAGGACUGACGGUACCGGUAUAAGAAGCCCCGGCUAACUACGUGCCAGCAGCCGCGGUAAGACGUAGGGGGCCAGCGUUGUUCGGAAUUACUGGGCGUAAAGGGCUCGUAGGCGGCCAACUAAGUCAGACGUGAAAUCCCUCGGCUUAACCGGGGAACUGCCUCUGA